UACUAUCUCUCUAAUAAACUAGAACCUCCUCAGAACACUUCUAAUGAGACCUAGGUUCUCUCAUUUGAGCAAUCACUCUGUAGUUGUCGCAAUAUAAGGGAAUCAGCUCCUCGCUUCCCUACACGACUCCUAGAUCUGUGAUGAACUUCUUCAUUCAGAUUCCCUUCUUUGUUACCUUUGCUACAGCAAUGUACUCCGC
rnacentral:lncRNA from 1 species